CGACCUACCAGUUGAAGCACCAGCACCAUAAAGGUCCAGUAUGUAUGAUAUGGAAUCAUAUGCACCAUCAUAAGUGGCCUCAUCUGCCCAUGCUGCUCAAGAUGUCCUGGGACAACGGUACUCUAAGGAACGUGUGGCUGUCUGUCAUCGGGGCGUCGCUUGGCUCUAUCUGGGUCUUUCAGGCCUAUCACAUCUCUUCCUUUUAAUAACCCUCCACACAC